CAACAUGAUUAGCAUCUCUCCCGCGGCCCACUGCGAACAAACACCCCUCUGUGCGGCCUCCAGGAGGGCCUGCCGGAAGCAGGAUGUUGACCGUGGCUCCUCAGGGUGGAUCCAGUCCCAUAAAUAAUAGUGAUCAGAGAAACUGCAAACACUGGGGACCAACUGGGUAAAUCUAUAAUGAAGUUGUUUUGGGGGCGCUCAACACCAGGAGGCCAAGCGUAACCACUCCUGCCCUUAGUUCUUCAGCUUCCC